CUACGGGCGGCAGCAGUGAGGAAUAUUGCACAAUGGGGGGAACCCUGAUGCAGCAACGCCGCGUGGAGGAUGACGCAUUUCGGUGUGUAAACUCCUUUUAUAUGUCAAGAAAAUGACGGUAGCAUAUGAAUAAGCACCGGCUAACUCCGUGCCAGCGGCCGCGGUAGUACGGAGGGUGCAAGCGUUACUCGGAAUCACUGGGCGUAAAGGACGCGUAGGCGGGUUGGAAAGUCAGGUGUGAAAUCCUACAGCUUAACUGUAGAACUGCACUUGAAACUUCUAAUCUAGAGUAUGGGAGGGGGAGAUGGAAUUAGUGGUGUAGGGGUAAAAUCCGUAGAUAUCACUAGGAAUACCUAAAGCGAAGGCGAUCUCCUGGAACAUUACUGACGCUAAGGCGUGAAAGCGUGGGGAGCAAACAGGAUUAGAUACCCCGGUAGUC
rnacentral:rRNA from 1 species